rnacentral:rRNA from 1 species
UGCCAGCAGCCGCGGUAAUACGAAGGGACCUAGCGUAGUUCGGAAUUACUGGGCGUAAAGGGUUCGUAGGCGGUUAUAUAAGUCAGAUGUGAAAUCCCUGGGCUCAACCUAGGAAUUGCAUAUGAUACUGUAUGACUAGAGUGCAGUAGAGGAGUGGGGAAUUCCUGGUGUAGCGGUGAAAUGCGUAGAUAUCAGGAGGAACACCAAUGGCGAAGGCAACACUCUGGGCUGUAACUGACGCUGAGGGACGAAAGCGUGGGGAUCAAACAGGAUUAGAUA